UGCGAGUUGUGCGUCUCUAAGCCAUGGUAGAGACGCGGCGUACGGCUCAGUAACAUGUGGCUAACCUACCCUUAGGACGGAGACACCCCGGGAAACUGGGGCUAAUACCCGGUAGAUUAGGAGGCCUGGAAUGGUUUCUAGUCGAAAAGGCGUUGAAACCAUGCUUUUCGACGUCGCCUAAGGAUGGGGCCGCACCUGAUCAGGUUGUUGGUGGGGUAACGGCUCACCAAGCCUAUAACCGGUACGGGCCGUGAGAGCGGGAGCCCGGAGAUGGGCACUGAGACAAGGGCCCAGGCCCUACGGGGCGCAGCAGUCGCGAAAACUCCGCAAUGCGCGAAAGCGUGACGGGGCUACCCCGAGUGCCGUCCGCUGAGGAUGGCUUUUCCCCGGUGUAAUGAGCCGAGGGAAUAAGGAGAGGGCAAGACUGGUGUCAGCCGCCGCGGUAAUACCAGCUCUCCGAGUGGUAGGGAUGAUUAUUGGGCUUAAAGCGUCCGUAGCCGGUUUGGUAAGUUCCUGGAUAAAUCGGGUAACUUAACUGUCAGGCUGCUAUGGGAUACUGUCUG
rnacentral:rRNA from 1 species